rnacentral:rRNA from 1 species
AUUGAACGCUGGCGGCAGGCCUAACACAUGCAAGUCGAGCGGAUGAAGGGAGCUUGCUCCUGGAUUCAGCGGCGGACGGGUGAGUAAUGCCUAGGAAUCUGCCUGGUAGUGGGGGAUAACGUCCGGAAACGGGCGCUAAUACCGCAUACGUCCUGAGGGAGAAAGUGGGGGGUCUUCGGACCUCACGCUAUCAGAUGAGCCUAGGUCGGAUUAGCUAGUUGGUGGGGUAAAGGCCUACCAAGGCGACGAUCCGUAACUGGUCUGAGAGGAUGAUCAGUCACACUGGAACGGAGACACGGUCCAGACUCCUACGGGAGGCAGCAGUGGGGAAUAUUGGACAAUGGGCGAAAGCCUGAUCCAGCCAUGCCGCGUGUGUGAAGAAGGUCUUCGGAUUGUAAAGCACUUUAAGUUGGGAGGAAGGGCAGUAAGUUAAUACCUUGCUGUUUUGACGGUACCAACAGAAUAAGCACCGGCUAACUUCGUG